UACGGGGGGGGCAAGCGUUGUUCGGAAUUACUGGGCGUAAAGGGCUCGUAGGCGGCCAACUAAGUCAGACGUGAAAUCCCUCGGCUUAACCGGGGAACUGCGUCUGAUACUGGAUGGCUUGAGUUUGGGAGAGGGAUGCGUAAUUCCAGGUGUAGCGGUGAAAUGCGUAGAUAUUUGGAGGAACACCGGUGGCGAAGGCGGCAUCCUGGACCAACACUGACGCUGAGUGAGCGAAAGCCAGGGGAGCAAACGGG
rnacentral:rRNA from 1 species